rnacentral:tRNA from 1 species
CCUUCGAUAGCUCAGUUGGUAGAAGCGAUGGACUGUAAAUCCAGAGGUCGCUGGUUCGAAUCCGGCUCGAAGGA